CCUGACCCUGGAGACAUUGCAGGUGUGGCUGCUGUGUCACAUGUGUUUCAGUAGGUGGCAGAGAGGAGACAGACUGUGUCUACCUCUCAGUGUUCUGACCUGUGAACUUCUGAAUGAUUAGUAGCCUAACAUU